rnacentral:lncRNA from 1 species
AAAAUAGGGUUUUCUUAUUUCUUUCCUUUGCAAUAAACAAUUUUCAACAGUAUAAUAGCUUAAAUAGGUGAUUGUGAUGUCACCCUUAGGAUAUAAUCACUGCUUGUUACAUCGUUUCUGUAGAAAAACCAACUCACAUAAGAUGAAAUGUGAUGGGGUGAAAUCAUGGCAGUGUGAUUUUCAAACACCAACUUGCCUUGGAAGGAAAUGUGGGGAUGUGCACUGCUGGAAGCCAUGUGUUCUGAUAUGAGAAGAACUUCUUCAGAAGGUAUCUUAAUGCAUAUGGGGAAACUGAGGCCCAGAUUGCACAUACAUGAGUUGCCCUGGAAAAUCCCAAGUCAAAGAAGCUGCACUGCAGGAAAUCAAUAUGGUGCAGGCCCCAGGCAAGGCAUCACUGACUACACUUGCAAGAAACAAACGCCUGCAAAAAUCAGGACAGGAUGAUUUUGAAGCUGUGCAAAACAGACAUGGCAUAGGAGACACAGCAAUAACUAAGGGGCAACUAUUGCAUCCAGGAAAAAAAAAAAAGAAGAUAAUGACUUCUCUGCAACUAAGAUGAAGAUCCACUGAACUUUGGGGUUUGAAAUGCAACGUUAGAACUUCAGACUCCCGGCACCUAGGUCUCCAGCUGCUGGGUGGUGCCAGCAUCAGAGAUACACUCUGCAAAACAUAUACUGUCUUAGGAAAAAGUGACCCUGUUGUCCUUUCAGGCCCAUAUUCCACAGAAGACAAAUGGAGAUGUAAAAGGAAAACUGCAGCUCUGAGUUAAGAGAGAGCAAGUUGUCUGUUCUGAUACAGCCAGGAAAUAAGAUGUUCUGGUUAAUAUGUGCUAAAGAUGUGGUGCUGACUUUCCGACUCAGAAUAUGAUCACAUGUUUUUCUCAUUAAAACUAUAUUGAAUGUUA